rnacentral:misc_RNA from 1 species
GGACGCGUUGAAGAAGCAGAUCGAGAACAUGAAGUACCAAGUGAGCAUGGAACGAUGGCCCCUGUCGAGAAGUAUCGCCGCUACUCGUACCUGUAACCACCUCCUCGCUCCAAGCUUGUUAAAGAUGCACGAGCUAUGGCGCCCUUUACACACUAAUUAUGAACAGUACCGUGAAGAUGCGACGCCCACAGAUAUUUAUUAAAAAGUGGUCCC